GUCCACAGGCGGCAGAGUGCGCAUUCGUAAUCUGUCAUCGAUAUCGACAGCAGUCUCUCGGCGAACGCUGUGUGUGUGGUUUUAGCCGCUUUUCUGUUUGCAGAACUUAGCAGCUCUUCAGCUUUUGUCGCCUCUUCCACAUAAGCACAAGAAACACACAUCCAUAAGGACAACUAGUAGGAUACACAUGCGGACAGGACUCUUCCUGUUUGGCUCCAUCUACGGGAACCUACUUUCCAAUUGCUAAGCAACUAAAGUCGACAGCAACACGAAAAUGGAAGAAUGCUUAACGGCGGCAGCAGCACGAACAUUUUCAGCGAAAUUCUGUGAAAUUUGAAUUGCAUAUAUAAAUAUAUAUAUGUUAACCAGUACAAUAAUUAGCUAAAGGAGCCAAUUAGCUGCGUUGUGUUCCAAGUAAACAACAGAAAACUUCCCUCAAAAAAUAUAAAAAAAAACUUACACAGAAAAAGGCAAAUAGCGAAAAGCGAAGCGAAACUUGAACAAUAAAAACACAUUAAUUUUAGCUGAAGAACAAAUUGAAAAGCGCACAUUGCAAAUGAAUUGAACUGCUUCCUAACUUAUAAUAUAUAUUAACAAAAAGAAACAAACAAUAACAAGAACCACACGUAACGGCAGCAGCAGCAGCAA
rnacentral:misc_RNA from 1 species